CCUACGGGAGGCAGCAGUAGGGAAUCUUCCACAAUGGGCGAAAGCCUGAUGGAGCAACGCCGCGUGGGUGAAGAAGGUCUUCGGAUCGUAAAACCCUGUUGUUAGAGAAGAAAGUGCGUGAGAGUAACUGUUCACGUUUCGACGGUAUCUAACCAGAAAGCCACGGCUAACUACGUGCCAGCAGCCGCGGUAAUACGUAGGUGGCAAGCGUUAUCCGGAUUUAUUGGGCGUAAAGGGAACGCAGGCGGUCUUUUAAGUCUGAUGGGAAAGCCUUCGGCUUAACCGGAGUAGUGCAUUGGAAACUGGGAGACUUGAGUGCAGAAGAGGAGAGUGGAACUCCAUGUGUAGCGGUGAAAUGCGUAGAUAUAUGUAAGAACACCAGUGGCGAAAGCGGCUCUCUGGUCUGUAACUGACGCUGAGGUUCGAAAGCGUGGGUAGCAAACAGGAUUAGAUACCCGGGUAGUC
rnacentral:rRNA from 1 species